CGAACCCAGUUUUUUUUUCAGGCAUAGUGUAUACUGAAGUUGAAAAAAGGGUUAUAACCUCAUCAAGGGAACCUCUGAGCAAGUCGGCAGCAGAUUCAGGAACAACGGCGCUAGCAAUCCAGUCAAGUAGCAUUAGGCCUGUAGGAAACAGUGGGAUUACUGAUGGAGAAAUUUUCUAUGUUUCUCCACAUACCAAGAGAAAGAACAUUUGAAAACUUCCUCGCCAACUUAUCAAGGUAUGGAGCACCUUGACUUCUACACGACAUUCUGUCCGGAAUGGUUUGAGGUCAGCCACAGGAAUGAGUUCCAUGAUCAAUGGUAUUUCUGUAGCGAUGAAGUUUGUGAGUUCUGGUUUUAUGAAGUAUGAUAAGAAAAUAGAAUGAAAGGAACGAUAUAUAAACCUGAGGAUUUCGAUAAUAUCAACCGUUUAGUUAUAGGAGUUGUGCUAAAAUAUCGGAUAGUGGGUUUGCACGUUGAGAAAAUAGAUUUGAUUUGUGGAAUUUAAAUUGAUUCCAAUUAUAUUCCUUUAUAAUAGGAUAUUAAUUUGUUGUGGAAGGUGAUUAGGAUAAUAGAUUUUGUAAUUCG